AUUGAACGCUGGCGGCAGGCUUAACACAUGCAAGUCGAGCGGAGUGAUGGUGCUUGCACUAUUACUUAGCGGCGGACGGGUGAGUAAUGCUUAGGAAUCUGCCUAUUAGUGGGGGACAACAUCUCGAAAGGGAUGCUAAUACCGCAUACGUCCUACGGGAGAAAGCAGGGGAUCACUUGUGACCUUGCGCUAAUAGAUGAGCCUAAGUCGGAUUAGCUAGUUGGUGGGGUAAAGGCCUACCAAGGCGACGAUCUGUAGCGGGUCUGAGAGGAUGAGCCGCCAAACUGGGACUGAGACACGGCCCAGACUCCUACGGGAGGCAGCAGUGGGGAAUAUUGGACAAUGGGGGGAAACCUGAUCCAGCCAUGCAGCGUGUGUGAAGAAGGCCUUAUGGUUGUAAAGCACUUUAAGCGAGGAGGAGGCUCUUUUGGUUAAUACCCAAGAUGAGUGGACGUUACUCGCAGAAUAAGCACCGGCUAACUCUGUGCCAGCCGCCGCCGUAA
rnacentral:rRNA from 1 species